UUCCAAUUUCGUUCAGAUCAUAGGACACCACCACAUAGAUGCCAAAAGAUAUCAGCACCAGGGCCAGCAGCUAAACAACGAUUCCACUUCAAGGCUUUUUGCCCUCAGACACGCCAAAAGUAAGGCACUCAAACGGGAUAGGCGCCCAGCAGGCUAGUCGGACUGGCGUCCGGGCAUGGUGUGUGAGAAUGAGGGAGGGAACAAAUUAUGCCAGGCGGUGUAAUGGGUCACAUGGAGGUCGCCCUGCGAUGGCUAUCCGUUUGUCAGAAAACCAUCCUGACAGGGAUUUGCGCAUGCGCUGUAGACAAGCCGGUUUACGUUGCACAAACAUCGAUGUGUCAACACUGUUUUCAAGCAUUUCCUUUGAAGUUAGGUAAAACUUAAUUGCCAUCGAUUCGUCUGGUUAGAGAGGGCAGUACAAUUAAUAGAACGUCAUUGAUAUUCCAAACUAGCCUGAUUAAUUUAUUAGCUAAAAGCAAUAGAGGCCUAGCAGGAACAGCUGCCAAUGGCACCCAUAUCGAUUGGACAUUCAAAAUGGAUGAGCCCACUAGUAAGUGUGAUGGAUAAAAGAAGCGCAUUAAAUAUGCACUGACCUUCAGGCCCAUCUGUUUGUUCUCACCGUUGCUUGCAAUUAAAGACGUAUAAAUAAACCAAACA